UACGUAGGGGGCGAGCGUUGUCCGGAUUUAUUGGGCGUAAAGAGCGUGUAGGCGGCCAGGUAGGUCCGUUGUGAAAACUCGAGGCUCAACCUCGAGACGUCGAUGGAAACCAUCUGGCUAGAGUCCGGAAGAGGAGAGUGGAAUUCCUGGUGUAGCGGUGAAAUGCGCAGAUAUCAGGAGGAACACCGGUGGCGAAGGCGGGUCUCUGGGCCAUAACUGACGCUGAGGAGCGAAAGCGUGGGGAGCGAACAGG
rnacentral:rRNA from 1 species